AUUGAACGCUGGCGGCAGGCUUAACACGUGCAAGUCGAGCGGGGGAAGGUAGCUUGCUACCGGACCUAGCGGCGGACGGGUGAGUAAUGCUUAGGAAUCUGCCUAUUAGUGGGGGACAACAUCUCGAAAGGGAUGCUAAUACCGCAUACGUCCUACGGGAGAAAGCAGGGGAUCUUCGGACCUUGUGCUAAUAGAUGAGCCGAAGUCAGAUUAGCUAGUUGGUGGGGUAAAGGCCUACCAAGGCGACGAUCUGUAGCGGGUCUGAGAGGAUGAUCCGCCACACUGGGACUGAGACACGGCCCAGACUCCUAAGGGAGGCAGCAGUGGGGAAUAUUGGACGAUGGGGGGAACCCUGAUCCAGCCAUGCCGCGUGUGUGAAGAAGGCCUUAUGGCUGUAAAGCACUUUAAGCGAGGAGGAGGCUACUUUAGUUAAUACCUAGAGAUAGUGGACGUUACUCGCAGAAUAAGCACCGGCUAACUCUGUGCCAGCAGCCGCCGUAA
rnacentral:rRNA from 1 species